GGGGUCGGGGAGAGGGAGGCACCGCGCGUGCGACCGCUGCUCGCCGCCGGCGAUGCGGCUAGAGGCGGCUGAACGGCCGUCGUCGAGGGCAGGGCUGCGGCUGCGGCUGCGGCUCCACGCGGGGAAACCUCGGGGGCUGCGCGCAGCCGCCUCAGGGGAGUGUCGGGGCUCCUCAACCGAGGCGGCGGCGGCGUGCUUGCUGCGGCUGGUGGAGAGGGCGAGGGGGAGAGGCAGGGGCCGGUGGGCCGCCUACCUAGCUGGGCCGGCCCACCGGCGGCCAGUUUUUUUAUUUUUCUUAUUUUUUAUUUUUCUUAUAUGAUGUAUAAUUGUCCUAAAUAAUUAUUAAUUGUCCUAAAUAAAUUUAUAUGAUGUAUUAUUAAUUAUUGAUUGUCCUAAAUAAUUAUUAAUUGUCCUAAAUAAUUAUUAAUUAUUAAUUGUCCAAAAUAAAUGUAUAUGAUGUUUUAUUUUUCUUAUAAUUAUUAAUUGUCCUAAAUAAUUAUUAAUUGUCCUAAAUAAUUGUCCUAAAUAAAUUAUUAAUUAUUUUAUGAUGUAUAAUUUGUUUUUUGUAAUGCAAUUAUUUAUAACGUAAUUAUUUACAAUGCAAUUAUAUAUAUAUGUAUGUAUAAAAAUAAUAAACAAUUAAUAUUUACUUUUAAUUUAAGUGUCUAUGUAUAUACAUUAUGCAUAUGCUAAGUAGUUAUUAUUUGUUUUUUAUAAUGCAAUUAUUUAUAAUGCAAUUAUUUACAAUGCAAUUAUAUAUAUAUAUAUGUAUGUAUAAAAAUAAUAAAUAAUUAAUAUUUACUUUAAGUUUAAGUGUCUAUGUAUAUACAUUAUGCAUAUGCUAAGUAGUUUUCAAAAGGAAAUGAGGUGAUAGAGGAUUGAAUCAGUUUCCAAAAGUAACGUUUAGAAUUAC
rnacentral:lncRNA from 1 species